UUAUUUUACUUUACCAUGCAUUAACUGUGUUCUCAAUAGUUUAUUGAUUUUCAAAAGUGUCUCAUGAAAACAACCUUUUUAAGGUAAUGUGUUUUAAAAAAUAAUAAAAUGACAUGAUAACUUUAGAAGAAAAGAAGAACCAAAAUUUUUGUUUUGAUCAACUGGUUUGCAUGGAGCCGUUUUUCCACUCUAACUGUCAGAUUCUUCAUCCAAUCACAAAGUCAAUGUAACCAUUUGAUUGCCUUGUUCUUCCCAUGUGGAUCUGAGUCUCUUGCUUGAACCUUGCUCCCUUGGACGAAGCUUCCCUAAGCCUUCCUGGCUCCUCCUCACCAUAAAUGAACUUUUUUUUCUUAUCUGUUUUUCAUGAGUUUUUGUCUCAUGUAGACAAACUGAGAUCCAAGAAGACAAGACCAUGUAAGUAUUAUGAGAUUUUAAUAACAAUUGUUGUUUGUUUUGGUUGUUAAAAUAUUACUAGACUCCCAAUUUGUUGAUGAAAUUUCUGUGACAGAAUAUCCCCUCAAGACUCGGUCAUGUAUAGACCAUUUAUGACAUGCGAUGAUCAAUAAACACAUAUUACAUAUCCCUCUGCUUGUAAACAAAAAUAAGUACCCUUUAUUGAUAGUGUGUUUUGGUCUAUGUCAGAAUCAGAAUAAGGUUCCAACCUCAACGCCUGAACCAGUGAUUUUCUUAUGAUGCAAAGACCUGCCAAAGGGUGAAAAAUCACUUUGUAUGUUUUGAUGUUCAUUCAUUAUUUACAAAUGAGAAGACUUGUCAUCCUUCCAUGCUUGCAGGGUAAAGGCUCGCCCUAUCAGGACUAACUCUAUUCUUGGACAUAAUGCGGCAAGUGUAUGUUGUAUUGCUUAACCUAGAUCUCUUUUUGCUAGAGGUUACUCAAGGAUUUUGUGACCCUAACCCUACAUAAUAUGUUGGUAGUGAGAAAACAGAGCCUGGACAUCGAUUCAGUAAAAGGGGAGUUCAUGAAAAUUAUAAAGAAUGGCUAUGAAGGUUCUCCUGGGAGGAUGGAGAUGUCCAUCCUGUUAGCUUCUCAGCUGCCAAAUUGAUGUUAAGAAAAGGAAUUCGGUCUUCCAUAUUGGCUUGUUUGCAAUGUAUCACCAGUUCGAGUGAGGAUUAUAGUGGCUAGAUCUAUUUUAUUUUGAUUUA